GUACUCGCUUCGGCGGUACAUAUACUAAAAUGGGAACGAUGCAGAGAGCAUUAGCAUGGCCCCUGCUCAAGGAUGACACACAAAAUCGCGAAGAGUUCCACAUUUAU